AACGUAAAAUAUAUUUAUACUAUAUGUAAAAGCACAUAUAUCUAUACUAUAUAUAAAAGUAUGUAUUUUAAAUUCCGAUCCGUUGACAGAUUUAUUUUAAAAAUAAAAAUAUAAGGAUAAGAAUAAGAACGGUUGAGAAUGAAUAUGUAAGGAUAAGAAUAAAAACAUAUAUAAAGAUAAUAAUAGAAACCGUUGGGAAUAAAUAUAUAAGGAUAAGAAUAGAAAUCGUUGAAAUGAAUAGAUAAUGAAUGGAUACGUAAUAAACAAAUUUUAAUUUAAUUUUUUCUUUAAAAGAUAACCGGUGAGCAUAUAAAAAAAUUAUUUUUCUAAUUAAAUUUAUAUUUCUUGAAAAGUGUGAUAUAUUAAUUUUUAACAGAUUUCGGAUUCAAUCCGAUCCGUACCGCGGGGAGCUCCGCCCACCGCACCCCCAAUUUCGAGGCACAUCUAAUUACCGUUGUCUAAUAACCAAUAUUAGAGAUGUUGCUAAUUGAUAUCAGAACACUUUGCAGAACGGAAUUCUAGCUAGUAACCGAUAUUAUAGAGUUUACUCUUUUUUUUCUUUUCUGUUUUUUGAGAGAGAGAUAGAUAGCACGCUAUCCACUUCGUUUAUUUUAUUUAGAAAUAAAUUUGACUAGAAAUGUGAAUCAACUAGAAUUCGAACUUAGGUAUCGGAUACCAACCACCAAAUUCUUUGCCACUUGCUCUAGGGACGGUCGGUAUAGAGUUUACUAAUUGAUAUAUCGGAGGUAGUUUAUGGAUACCACGUGCCUGUGCACACCAAAUAUUACGUAAAAUAAGGCCGAACAUUUUUAUCAUCUCUACAUAUAUAAU
rnacentral:lncRNA from 1 species